rnacentral:rRNA from 1 species
GACGAACGCUGGCGGCGUGCCUAAUACAUGCAAGUCGAGCGGACGAAUCGAACGCUUGCUUUUGAUUCGUUAGCGGCGGACGGGUGAGUAACACGUGGGCAACCUGCCCUGUAGACGGGGAUAACACCGAGAAAUCGGUGCUAAUACCGGAUAACACGAAAUGUCGCAUGACGUUUCGUUGAAAGACGGCGCAAGCUGUCGCUACAGGAUGGGCCCGCGGCGCAUUAGCUAGUUGGUGAGGUAACGGCUCACCAAGGCGACGAUGCGUAGCCGACCUGAGAGGGUGAUAGGCCACACUGGGAGUGAGACAGGGACAAGAGUACUAAGGGAGGCAGCAGAAGGGAAUGGGCGGCAAGGGACGAAAGUAUGACGGAGCAACGCCGAGUGAGCGAAGAAGGCGUUCGGGUCGGAAAGAUCUGUUGUUAGGGAAGAACAAGUAACGCAGUAAAUGGAGUUAGAGUGACGGUAACUAACGAGAAAGCAACGGCUAACUACGUG